GGACAGGUGGCAGAGUGGUUGAAUGUACCUGACUCGAAAUCAGGCAUACUCGCAAGGGUAUCGCGGGUUCAAAUCCCGCCCCGUCCGCCA
rnacentral:tRNA from 1 species